AGUGUUUUGCAUAGGCCCCUGCAGGCCCAGGUCAUCUGCUCGGGUUUUAUAAAAGGGGCAUUUCCAGUGUGAGCUGCGCUGUAUCAGGCAGGCAGGGGCAGCAAGAUGCUGACGCAGACGCAGGUCCUUAUAUCUGUGUUGCUCUGGGUCUCAGGAGCCUGUGGGGACGUCAUGAUGACCCAGUCUCCAGACUCCUUGGCAGCGUCUCUAGGACAGAGAGUCGAGAUGAAGUGCAAGGCCAGUCAGAGUGUUAGCAGCUACUUAGCUUGGUACCAGCACAAACCAGGACAGGCUCCUAAGCGGCUCAUCUAUGCUGCAUCCAGCAGAGCAUCUGGGGUCCCUGACCGAUUCAGUGGCAGUGGAUCUGGGAUGGAUUUCACUCUCACCAUCAGCAGCCUCCAGGCUGAAGAUGUGGCCAUUUAUUACUGUAUGCAGCAUUAUAAUAAUCCUCCCACAGUGCUUCAGGCUCGAACACAAACCUCCUCCCCAAAACCGUGGCUCAGUGAGUCUUUGCUGCAGCAGCUGCUUCCUCACCACACAGGCAUCUAUGUGCACAUUCUUCCAUCUGCCUGAGAGGUCAUAUCACCU